rnacentral:rRNA from 1 species
CUAGCCGUAAACGAUGGAUACUAGGCGUUGUGAGUAUCGACCCUCACAGUGUCGUAGCUAACGCGUUAAGUAUCCCGCCUGGGGAGUACGCGCGCAAGCGUGAAACUCAAAGGAAUUGACGGGGGCCCGCACAAGCGGUGGAGUAUGUGGUUUAAUUCGAUGCAACGCGAAGAAUCUUACCAGGACUUGACAUGUCGCGAAUCUCAGGGAAACUUGAGAGUGCCUUCGGGAGCGCGAACACAGGUGGUGC